CCGUUUCAGAGUCCUUUUAGAAUGAGUCCAGCAGACUUUCCAGGGUUUUGCUGGAAAGCUCCU
rnacentral:snRNA from 1 species